AAAGUGUGUAGGUGGAUCCCUUAGGCAAAUCCGGGGGGUUAACACCAAGGCACGGGACCAGGACUCUUUGAGUCUGAAGCUGCUGAUACCACGCUCCCAGGAAAAGCCUCUAAGCUUCAGUUACACGGGACCGUACCGUAAUCGGACACACGUGGGCAGGAUGAAAAUUCUAAGGCGCUUGAGAGAACCCAGGAGAAGGAACUCGGCAAAUUGACACCGUAACUUCGGAAGAAGGUGUGCCCUGGUAGGUUGUAGCCGUACAGGCGAAGGCCGAAGGGGUUGCAAAAAAUCGGUGGCUGCGACUGUUUAAUAAAAACACAGCACUCUGCAAAGAUGAUGAAUCGACGUAUAGGGUGUGACGCCUGCCCGGUGCCGGAAGGUUAAAUGAUGGGGUGCAAGCUCUUGAUUGAAGCCCCGGUAAACGGCGGCCGUAACAAUAACGGUCCUAAGGUAGCGAAAUUCCUUGUCGGGUAAGUUCCGACCUGCACGAAUGGCGUAACGAUGGCCACACUGUCUCCUCCUGAGACUCAGCGAAGUUGAAGUGUUUGUGAUGAUGCAAUCUACCCGCGGCUAGACGGAAAGACCCCGUGCACCUUUACUGUAGCUUUGCAUUGGACUGUGAUGGGAUCUGUGUAGGAUAGGUGGGAGCCUGUGAAGCGGUGGCGCUAGCCAUCGUGGAGGCAACGUUGAAAUACCACCCUGAUGUCAUUGCGGUUCUAACCUUGGCCCCUAUAGCGGGGUUGGGGACAGUGCAUGGUAGGCAGUUUGACUGGGGCGGUCUCCUCCCAAAGAGUAACGGAGGAGCUCGAAGGUACGCUAGGUACGGUCGGACAUCGUGCUGAUAGUGCAAUGGCACAAGCGUGCUUGACUGCGAGACUGACAAGUCGAGCAGGUGCGAAAGCAGGACAUAGUGAUCCGGUGGUUCUGAAUGGAAGGGCCAUCGCUCAACGGAUAAAAGGUACGCCGGGGAUAACAGGCUGAUUCCUCCCAAGAGUUCAUAUCGACGGGGGAGUUUGGCACCUCGAUGUCGGCUCAUCACAUCCUGGGGCUGUAGCCGGUCCCAAGGGUAUGGCUGUUCGCCAUUUAAAGUGGUACGUGAGCUGGGUUUAAAACGUCGUGAGACAGUUUGGUCCCUAUCUGCCGUGGGCGUUGGACGUUUGAGGGGGGCUGCUCCUAGUACGAGAGGACCGGAGUGGACGAACCUCUGGUGUACCGGUUAUCACGCCAGUGGUAUUGCCGGGUAGCUAAGUUCGGGAGAGAUAAGCGCUGAAAGCAUCUAAGUGCGAAACUUGCCCCAAGAUGAGACGUCCCUGGAGGUUAACUCCACUAAAGGGUCGCGGAAGACCACCGCGUUGAUAGGUCGGGUGUGGAAGCGCAGUAAUGCGUUAAGCUAACCGAUACUAAUUGCCCGUGCGGCUUGAUCCC
rnacentral:rRNA from 1 species